GACGAACGCUGGCGGCGUGCUUAACACAUGCAAGUCGAACGGAAAGGCCCUGCUUUUGUGGGGUGCUCGAUUGGCGAACGGGUGAGUAACACGUGAGUAACCUGCCCUUGACUUUGGGAUAACUUCAGGAAACUGGGGCUAAUACCGGAUAGGAGCUCCUGCUGCAUGGUGGGGGUUGGAAAGUUUCGGCGGUUGGGGAUGGACUCGCGGCUUAUCAGCUUGUUGGUGGGGUAGUGGCUUACCAAGGCUUUGACGGGUAGCCGGCCUGAGAGGGUGACCGGCCACAUUGGGACUGAGAGACGGCCCAGACUCCUACGGGAGGCAGCAGUGGGGAAUAUUGCACAAUGGGCGGAAGCCUGAUGCAGCAACGCCGCGUGCGGGAUGACGGCCUUCGGGUUGUAAACCGCUGUCGCCUGUGACGAAGCGUGAGUGACGGUAAUGGGUAAGGAAGCACCGGCUAACUACGUG
rnacentral:rRNA from 1 species